rnacentral:lncRNA from 1 species
UAUUAUUUUUACAAGUACUAAAUUAAAAAGUGUCUGUGAACCAGUUUGGAAGUAUUAGGGAAGAGUAAUUUAAUAUUGUAAAUUCAACGACGCAAAAUUAGAAACUGAGCUUCAUAUUUACAUACUUUAUUAUUUUUAUUUUAUAAAUACCCAUAUUUUCUAGUUUUAAGCAGAAGAUUCAGUACCAAAAAUAAUUAAUCCAUUAUUUUUUAAAAAUAUGAUAAUACAUAAAAUGCAGUUGAAAUUAGUUUUGAAGGGUAAUAUUCACUUAAUCAUUAUUCAAUGCAAGAAUUUCGCCGAAUAGAUUGUAGAAUUGUUCAUCUUGCAAGCGGAUAUAAAUAAUAUGUAACUUUCUAGCUUAUAUCAAUCAUCCUUUGACUUCCAUAUGGAAAUAUUGUAUUGGUUUUAUGCUGGGUAAUAUUGUCUGUGACUGGUAAUUUUCCCUCUGACAUUUUCGGCGCUGGUAAUUUGGCCCAAGGAGAUUUUGCCGCAUUUUUUAUAUUAUGGGUUCGAACUUUACUGUCUUAUUUCCAUCAGAUUAUUAAUUAUAUAUUUAGAGAAGAAGAAAAUGAAAAUACUCAAAAUAGUCAUGACAUAAUUAAUGAAUAAUGAUAAACCCUUAAAGAAGUCAUCUGUAAUUGUGAGCUGUUUAUACUUUAUAAGGAGAAGGAGUAAUUGGAAACACGGAUCUGGGAUGAUGAGUCAAUACCGAAAGGACUCAAUGACUUGUGGCACGUUAAUGAAUUAUAGUCGCUGCCUUAGUUGAGGCUUGAAGAAAUGGAAAAAACUUCAUCGAUAGAAAGAAAGGAAUAUUAUUGAUGAAUCAUAGCUCUGGCCAGAAGAUUUAUCUUUUCUUUAUGAUGGGUAGCUUCUGAUAAAUCUACUUUUACUAUCAACGAGAUUGAAUAGCUCUCGAAGAUGCAUCUCUUUUCUUGGAUUAAUCUUGCUUGGCCUUAGUCUUAUCUCAUUGUACUCCGGCUCGAAUUCCCUCUCAAGCUGGAAUUCACCAAAGAAUAUUAUCAGAACAAAGUAUUUCUAUCCCAGAAGGUCAAUAAAAUCAUCAUGCAGGACUAUCUCUUAAUCCAGGGAAUACUGAAAUUAAUUCAUUUCAGUGUUCCCUGAUUAAUCAAUGAUCUCCUUUUUUUAUAUUCCCUGAAUUUACUUUAUCACUCUUCAGAAGUCUAUUUUCCCCUCCUGGUACUCUGUUUCUCUCGAUCAUACUCAAUCAAGAGCGUUAUCUUGUCAACUUUGUUUGACUUACUAGAAAAAAACAUCUGCUGUGGAGGAUACCAUGUUUUAUUUACUCUUACGUUGUGGAGUACGACUUUUUAUCUCUUAAUACUUAAUUUAUUACUUUUUUAUAAACGUGAUUUUGCAUUCUUUUAUUUAUUUACCAUCUAUUUAUAUAUAGUUUAUAGAUCAGCUCUGGAGGAGCUGACAGUUUUUUUUAUGUCUAUAUUUUUUGAUACUCAAGUCAUUAGUUAUAACUCAUUUAAAUUGAAUAUUUUAAUAAGAUGAUUUAUACCCUUCA